AAUCUGGGUGAUUUUUGGAUAUCAGGGGGUGUAACUUUGUGUGAGGGUGACUGGUGACAGACUGUGAUGUGGAGAGGCUGUAAUUAGCCUCCCCACACUCACAUAGUUUGUUUCUUUUUAGUGUUCCAUUCCCUGGUGGUCCAGUGGCUGGCUCUACAGGUCUGCAGCUCCGCCGAGUGUGAGCUGCAGACCAAGUUAUCACGAGCUCGGAUUAG